CACUUGACCAGUGAGCUAUUACGCAUUCUUUAAAUGCAUGGCUGCUUCUAAGCCAACGUCCUGGUUGUCUUAGUAGAUUCACAUCCUUUUCCACUUAAUUCAAAUUUCAGACGCAGACAUAAAAGAUAGGAUAUUAAAGAAAAAUAUUCAAAAAAAACACAAGUCUAAAGUCAAAAGUGAGUAACAUAAGAAAUUAUGAACUAACAAUCACUGGUUAGAGUUAAAAACUAGGACUCAUAGCUAAACUUAAUACCUCUAUUAGUGGUAGAGGAGCAUUGUAUUAGAGACGAAGCCAAGGCGAAAGCAAAAGUGGAUCUAAUACAAGAGAGAAUGCUGGCAUGAGUAGCGAGAAGGGAUGUGAGAAUCAUCCCCGUCGAAACCCUAAGGACUCCUGAGCAAGGCUCGUCCCCUCAGGGAAAGUCGGGACCUAAGCCAAGGCCGAAAGGCGUAGGCGAUGGAUAACAGGUUUAUAUUCCUGUACCGCUUGAAGUCGAUAUGAGAGAAGUGAUGACGCAAAAGGAUAAGCAAAGCCAUCAGAUGGAAAAGAUGGUCUAAAGCCGUAGGAAGAAAAGUAGGCAAAUCCGCUUUUCACAAAUUCUAAAAGCCGAUAGGUAUCGAAAACAUAAGUAGAGAAGUUGCCGAUUCCAGGUUGCCAAGAAAAGUCACUAUCCAGACCAAAGCGCCCGUACCAAAACCGACACAGGUAGGGAGGUAGAGAAUACCAAGACGCGCGGAAGAACCUUUGUUAAGGAACUCGGCAAAAUGUCCCCGUAACUUCGGGAGAAGGGGAGCCUGAGCAAUCAGGCCACAGAAACCAGGCCCAAGCGACUGUUUACCAAAAACACAAGUUUCUGCAAAAUCGCAAGAUGAAGUAUAGGAGCUGACACCUGCCCGGUGCUGGAAGGUUAAGGGGAAGGCUUAGAGCAAUCGAAGGCUAGAACUUAAGCCCCAGUAAACGGCGGCCGUAACUAUAACGGUCCUAAGGUAGCGAAAUUCCUUGUCGGGUAAGUUCCGACCCGCACGAAAGGUGUAACGAUUUGGGCACUGUCUCAACAAAGGAUCCGGUGAAAUUGUAGUAGUCGUGAAGAUGCGACUUACCCACGCUAGGACGGAAAGACCCCGUGGAGCUUUACUGUAGGCUGAUAUUGGAUUUUGAGAUUAAAUGUACAGGAUAGUUGGGAGACUGAGAUAUCUGGAUGCCAAUCUAGGAGGAGUCACUGGUGGGAUACCAACCUUUUAAUAUCAAAGUUCUAACCAUAGCCCUUGAAUCAGGGCAUGGGACAUUGUCAGUUGGGCAGUUUGACUGGGGCGGUCGCCUCCUAAAAAGUAACGGAGGCGUUCAAAGGUUCGCUCAGAAUGGACGGAAACCAUUCGUAGAGUAUAAAGGCAGAAGCGAGCUUAACUGCGAGAGCUACAACUCAAGCAGAGUCGAAAGACGGACUUAGUGAUCCGGUGGUACCGCAUGGAAGGGCCAUCGCUCAACGGAUAAAAGCUACCCUGGGGAUAACAGGCUUAUCUCCCCCAAGAGUCCACAUCGACGGGGAGGUUUGGCACCUCGAUGUCGGCUCGUCUCAUCCUGGGGCUGGAGUAGGUCCCAAGGGUUGGGCUGUUCGCCCAUUAAAGAGGCACGCGAGCUGGGUUCAGAACGUCGUGAGACAGUUCGGUCCCUAUCCAGCGUGGGCGUAAGAAAUUUGAGAGGAGCUGUCCUUAGUACGAGAGGACCGGGAUGGACGCACCAAUGGUGUACGAGUUGUUAGGCCACUAGCAUGGCUCGGUAGCUAAGUGCGGGAAUGAUAAGUACUGAAAGCAUCUAAGUACGAAGCAUGCCUCAAGAUAAGAUUUCUCAGAGUAGGUAAAGAAAAUACCUUAGAUAGGUCCAAGGUGUAAGUGCAGUAAUGUAUUAAGCUAAUGGAUACUAAACUUUAAAUCUUGACUGG
rnacentral:rRNA from 1 species